GACGAACGCUGGCGGCGUGCUUAACACAUGCAAGUCGAACGGUAAGGCCCUUCGGGGUACACGAGUGGCGAACGGGUGAGUAACACGUGGGUGAUCUGCCCUGCACUUCGGGAUAAGCCUGGGCAACUGGGUCUAAUACCGGAUAGGACCCUGGGAUGCAUGUCCUGGGGUGGAAAGCUGUUGCGGUGUGGGAUGGGCCCGCGGCCUAUCAGGUUGUUGGUGGGGUGAUGGCCUACCAAGGCGACGACGGGUAGCCGGCCUGGGAGGGUGACCGGACACACGCGGACUGAGCGACGGCCAAGACUCCUACGGGAGGCAGCAGUGGGGAAUAGUGCACAAGGGGAGCAAGCCGGAUGCAGCGACGCCGCGUGAGGGAUGACGGCCUUCGGGUUGUACACCUCUUUCAGCACAGACGAGGCGAAAGUGACGGUAUGUGCAGAAGAAGGACAGGCCAACUACGUGCCAGCAGCCGCCGUAA
rnacentral:rRNA from 1 species